CCCAAAUCAGGCGAGAUCCAGAGGUGUAACCACCGGAGGAGGCAAAGGAACCGGCGCCGCAACCGAAGCCGAAGACGGGCGGCGAACAUUGGGAAGUGGAUCAUCUGCCACCAUAACCGAAGUCAGUCGGAGGAAGCCGAAGGCGUUGGCGCGUGCGGAGAUUCGUUGCUCGUCGCCAGCGCAGACCAAAAAUGGUUGUACAAGGAGAGGUCUACAAACCGUUCUUCUCGGUAGAAUUCAAAACAGCCCGCCGGUUGGCAGUCUUGUCAUGCUGAUAUCGAUGGGGAGGCAUAGGAUGAUGAGG